rnacentral:misc_RNA from 1 species
UUUCCGUAGGUGAACCUGCGGAGGAUCAUUAAAAAUUGGGUGACUGUAAUUUAGGUUAACCCAUUAAUAAUAUCCUACCCUUUGUGAAUUUGUUUGUUAUGUAAAAUUUUUGUCUAUCCUAAAGAAAGGUUGGAUAAGUGUAAUAGCUUAAAAAACUUUUUUUUAGGAAUGGCUUAAGACUUUUAUUUAAAAUUAAACUUUUGUAUUCAUUUGUCUAAAAUUAAAUUUUUAAAAUAAUAAUUUAAAAACAACUUUGACAAUGGAUCUCUUGGUUCUCGCAACGAUGAAGAACGCAGCAAAAUGCGAUAAGUAAUGUGAAUUGCAGAAUACGUGAAUCAUCAAAUCUUCGAAUGCAUAUUGACUUUUUAGUUUACUAAAAAAGUAUGUCUGUUUGAGUAUCAGUAAAAUAUCUCAUAAAAUCAUUUGAUUUUAUGGUUAUGAGUGUUUACAACGAUAAACAAGUUGUUUCACUUUAAAUGGAUUUUAAUUGAAAUCGUCGGUUGGGAACGAUUUUAAUUUUUUUAAAAAUUGGAUAAAAUUUUCCCGUAAAAAGGAAUAAAGCUAUUUCAGUUUUUUAGAAAUUUUAAUAGUUUCCAUACCGUACAGUUAAAGGAAAUUUAUUUAUAAAUAACUUGAUCUCAAAUCAGAUAAGAGUACCGCUGAACUUAAGCAUAUCAAUAAGCGGAGGAAAAGAAACUAACAAGGAUUCCUUAGUAACGGCGAGUGAAGCGGAAGAGCUCAAAUUUGAAAUCUCAAGGUUCUACCUUGACGAAUUGUAGUUUAAAGAAGUGUUUUCUGUUAGAGGAGUGGCAAAGUUCUUUGGAAUAGGACAUCAUAGAGGGUGAGAAUCCCGUAUUUGUCAUUCUUUCUAGCUGUGUGAUACACUUUCAAGAGUCGGAUUGUUUGGGAAUGCAGCCAAAAUGGGUGGUAAAUUUCAUCUAAAGCUAAUAUUGGCGAGAGACCGAUAGUGAACAAGUACCGUGAGGGAAAGAUGAAAAGAACUUGAAAGAGAGUUAACAGUACGUGAAAUUGUCAAAAGGGAAGCGUUUGACACCAGUGUUGUUUUUCCGAAAAUCAAUUGUGCUGGCUGGAUUUGUAGGAGUUUGACCUUAUCAGCUUCUUCUGCUUUUUUCCGGUCUGGUGCAAUGCACUUUCAGUUAACAAGUCAACAUCAAUUUCUUUUGUUGUAAAGGGUAAUUGGAAGGUGGCUUUCUUUCGGAGAAAGUGUUUAUAGCUUUUACCUCUACAAUCGGAGAGAUUGAGUCUGCAGCGUAGAUCCUUCGGGUUAGAUACAUUUGUGCUAAGUUAUAGCCUGUAUAGACAACUUGUUGACUAUACUCGUCAUGUAGCUUACUCGCUUAUGCUAUUUUACCUACGCUUAGGAUGU